rnacentral:rRNA from 1 species
UGGGGAAUAUUGCACAAUGGGGGAAACCCUGAUGCAGCGACGCCGCGUGAGUGAAGAAGUAUUUCGGUAUGUAAAGCUCUAUCAGCAGGGAAGAAAAUGACGGUACCUGACUAAGAAGCCCCGGCUAACUACGUGCCAGCAGCCGCGGUAAUACGUAGGGGGCAAGCGUUAUCCGGAUUUACUGGGUGUAAAGGGAGCGUAGACGGAGAGGCAAGUCUGAUGUGAAAGGCAGGGGCUCAACCCCUGGACUGCAUUGGAAACUGUCGGACUGGAGUGCCGGAGGGGUAAGCGGAAUUCCUAGUGUAGCGGUGAAAUGCGUAGAUAUUAGGAGGAACACCAGUGGCGAAGGCGGCUUACUGGACUGUAACUGACACUGAGGCACGAAAGCGUGGGGAGCAAACAGGAUUAGAUACC